rnacentral:rRNA from 1 species
GGUGCCAGCAGCCGCGGUAAUUCCAGCUUCAGCAGCAUCUAUUAAAGUUGCUGCGGUUAAAAGGCUCGCAGUUGAAUGUCAGUAUCGAGCGCAGGUCAGGUGGACGCUGGGGCGUGGGAUUCAAAGGUGUGUGUACGGACGGCACUUGUGUCGCACCGGCCGCGCCUUCUCACAAGCCCCCGUCCGUGACAAGCCUCCUCGCUUGCGUACAUAUCGGAAUUGGAAAACGGAGUGUGCGCAGUCUCUCCAUGCGUUUUGUUCUACGGUUUCGCUUGCGUUGCCUAGUUCGGGGCGUGUGUGUGGGGCUCGCACGUUAAGCUCCUUCGGUUUUAUGGUCACCUUGAGUAAAUCAGAGUGCUCAAAGCAGUCGUAGGGGCCUUGUGCCCUGUGAACAGUCUUGACAGACUGACUUGGUUUUGCAUGGCAUGUCGGAAGACGACGUCGUGUGCUGGCUCAGAGAUGCAAUCAGUGGUAAAAGCCAGCCUCGACGUACUGAUUAAGAGGGACGGUCGAGGGCAUUGGUAUUGCGAGGCGAGAGGUGAAAUUCUAUGACCCCCGCAAGACCUCCUGAAGCGAAAGCGUCUGCCAAGGACGUUUUCAUUAAUCAUGA